ACAACAAAAAAUAAAGAUGCAUUACACAAAGACAGUCGGCACAUGCCCAGUCUUCAAGAAAGGUAUUAAGGUGGUUCAUCAUCUUUUGUUCGAAGAGUAUGUGACUUCAACGAUAGGCGUGGACAAAAUAUGAAUUAUAUAUAAUAUUAUGCGUCUAUCGUAUCGAUAUAUAAGUUUGUGGUUUCCCUUCACACGUACAUAACAAUUGGUUUCGUGUGAGUAAAAAGCUGUGCGUUUUGCAGUGAUCCGUGCUAAAUACGACAUCGAUUUAUAUUCUGUAAUUCGUUCAACGAGACGACUUAGAAUACGUAAAGAAAACAUAUAUAAACAAACUAUGCGCCUGAUAAAUGGAUAGAACUCCAGCAAUUCGUUGACAAAAGAUAAUCGAUUGUUGAAUUUAGAAACGAAUUCCCAUAAAUUAUUAUUAGCACUUGCUUCGAUUUCCUAUUCAAAAACUUAAACAAUUAUUUGAAGGCUAUGAGUAAUUAUACAUGUGAUAUAUGGAUUUUUCGGUAAAAGUUAACCGAGAUAAACUGUGUAACAACGUGGUAUGAACGUUAACCGGAAAUACAAAAUGGAAAAAAUUGCACAAUUUGCAUUUCAGGUGAUUAUACAGAUUUUAUAUUGCUUUCUCGUCCAAGGUCAACCAAGAAAAACAGUGUAACAGCACGGUAUCACCGUUAACCAGAUAUUAAAAAAUGAGAAAAAUUUUACAAUUUCCAUUACAGAUUUAAAUGGAUUUCUCGGAUAAGGUUAACCUAGAAAAACUGUGCAACAACGUGGUAUGGCCGUUAACCGGAAAUUCAAAAAUGAGAAAAAUUGUACAAUUUGCUAUAUAGGUAAUUAUGCUGAUGUUACAUAGAUUUUUCGGUUAAGGCUAACUGAGAGAAACUACGUAACAACGUGCUAUGACUACUAUGGGGAAAUCCAAAAUGAAUAAAAUUGUAGAAUUUGCAUUAUAGAUAAUUAUACAGGUGAUAGAUGGAUUUCUCGGUAAAAGUUAACCGAGAUAAACUGUGUAACAACGUGGUAUGAAUGUUAAUCGGAAAUUUAAAAUGGAAAAAAUUGUAUAAUUUGCAUUUCAGGUAAUUCUAUAGAUUAUAUAUGUCUCUCUCGACCAGGGUUAACAGAGAAAAGUAGUGGUAACAACAUGGUAUAUACGACCGUUAACCGGAAAUUCAAAAUUUAAAAAAUUCUAUUUGUCCCAUGAUUGGUAAUUCUGCAGAUUUUAUAUGGCUUUCUUGCCCAAGGUUAAGCGAAUAAGAAUGAGUGGAACCGUUAACCGGCAAUUCAAGAUGAAAAAAAUUAACAAUUUGCAAUAUAGGUAAUUAUAGAGAUUUAAAUGAAUUUUUCGGAUAAGGUUAACCAAGGAAAAUUGUGUAACAAAGUGAUAUGAUCGUUACCUAGAAAUUAAAAAUGAAAACAAUUGUACAACUUGCAUUAUAGAUAAUUAUACAUAUUACAUAUGGAUUUGUCGGUAAAAGUUAAUCGAGAAAAACUGUGUAACAACGUGAUUUGGCCGUAAAUCGGAAAUUAUAAAUGAUAAAAAUUUUACAAUUUGUACUCUAGAUUUUAUAUGGCUUUCUCGCCAAAGGUUAAUCGGAUAAGACUGUGUGAAAUCGUGGUAUGACCGUUUACCGGAAAUUCAAGAUGAAAAAAAUUUUCCAAUUUGCGAUAUAGGUAAUUCUACAGAUUAUAUGUGUCUUUCUCGACCAUGGUUAACCGAGAAAAAUAGUGUGACAACAUGGUAUGACCGUUAACCGGAAAUUCAAAAUGCAAAACUUUUACAAUUUGCAUUCUAGGUAAUUAUACAGAUUUUGUAUGACUUUCUCCCCUAAGGAUAAUCGAGAAAAACUCUGUUCAACGUCUGUUCAACUAUCAGAGUUAAAUGGAAAUUCAAGAUGGUAAAAUUUGUACAAUUUGCAUUUCAGGUAGUUAUACAGGUUUUAUAUUGCUUUUUCGUCCAAGGUUAACCGAAAAAACAGUGUAACAACAUGGUAUCACCGUUAACCAGAUAUUAAAAAGUGAGAAAAAUUUUUCAAUUUUCAUUACAGGUAAUUAUACGGAUUUUUAUAUGGCAAUGUGGUCCAAAGUUAACAGAGUAAGACCGUGUAAGAACGUUGUGUGACCGUUAACAGCAAAUUCAAAGGGAAAAAAAAUUUUACAAUUUGCAUUAUUUGUAAUUGUACAAAUUUUUUAUUUAUUUCUCCCAUAAGUUUAACGUAGAAGAUAUGUCUACAGCCUGGUAUGAUGGUUGACUGUAAAUUGGAAAUGAAAAAAUUUUAUAACUUGCAUUAUAGCUAAUUAUGCUGAUUUUACAUGGGUUUCUCGUACAAAUUAACCGAGAAAAACUGUGUAACGACGUGAUAUGAAUGUUAAUCGGAAAUUCAAAUUGGAAAAAAUUGUACAAUUUGCCUUGCAGGUUAUUGUACAGAUUUCAUAUGGCUUUCCAGCAUAAAGAUUACCAAGAGAUACUUCUUAAUAACGUGGUAUGACCGUUAUCAAAAAUUAAAUAAAAAUUAAGAAGGAAUUUUACAAUUUGCAUUGUAGGUAAUUAUAUAGAUAUUAUAUGGAUUUCUCGGUUGAGGUUAAUCGAGAAAAUCUAUGUAACUACGUGGUAUGACUGUUAACCGGAAAUUCAAAAAGUAAAGAAUUGAAUAAUUUGCAUUAUAGGUAAUCCUACAGAUUCUAUAUGUCUUUCUCGAUCAGGGUUAACCGAGAAAGAUAAUGUAACAAAAUGGUAUGACCGUUAACCGGAAAUUCAAAAUGAAAAAAAUUUUACAAUUUGCCUCAUAGGUAAUUACACAGAUUUUAUAUUGCUUUCUCGUCCAAGGUGAACCGAGGAAAACAGUGUAACAACACGGUAUCACCGUUAACCUGAAAUUAAAAAUGAAAAAAAUUUUACAAUUUGCAUUAUAGAUAAUUAUGCGGGUAUUACAUGGAUUUCCCGGUAACGGAGAAACGAGAAAAGCUGUAUAACACCGUGAUUUCUCUCAUAUCGUUAACCGGGAAGAACUGUGUAAAAUUCCGUAUGAUCGUUAACUCCGAAUUGAAAAUAAAAAAAAUUUUCUCGCUUCAUUCUAUGUAAUUAUACAGAUUUAAAUGAAUUUUUCGGAUAAGGUUAACCAAGGAAAAUUUUGUAACAACGUGAUAUGAUCGUUGACUAGAAAUUCAUAACGAAAAAAAUUUACAAUCUGCAUUAUAGAUAAUUAUACAUGUGAUAUAUGGAUUUUUCGGUAAAAGUUAACCGAGAUAAACUGUGUAACAACGUGGUAUGAACGUUAACCGGAAAUACAAAAUGGAAAAAAUUGCACAAUUUGCAUUUCAGGUGAUUAUACAGAUUUUAUAUUGCUUUCUCGUCCAAGGUCAACCAAGAAAAACAGUGUAACAGCACGGUAUCACCGUUAACCAGAUAUUAAAAAAUGAGAAAAAUUUUACAAUUUCCAUUACAGAUUUAAAUGGAUUUCUCGGAUAAGGUUAACCUAGAAAAACUGUGCAACAACGUGGUAUGGCCGUUAACCGGAAAUUCAAAAAUGAGAAAAAUUGUACAAUUUGCUAUAUAGGUAAUUAUGCUGAUGUUACAUAGAUUUUUCGGUUAAGGCUAACUGAGAGAAACUACGUAACAACGUGCUAUGACUACUAUGGGGAAAUCCAAAAUGAAUAAAAUUGUAGAAUUUGCAUUAUAGAUAAUUAUACAGGUGAUAGAUGGAUUUCUCGGUAAAAGUUAACCGAGAUAAACUGUGUAACAACGUGGUAUGAAUGUUAAUCGGAAAUUUAAAAUGGAAAAAAUUGUAUAAUUUGCAUUUCAGGUAAUUCUAUAGAUUAUAUAUGUCUCUCUCGACCAGGGUUAACAGAGAAAAGUAGUGGUAACAACAUGGUAUAUACGACCGUUAACCGGAAAUUCAAAAUUUAAAAAAUUCUAUUUGUCCCAUGAUUGGUAAUUCUGCAGAUUUUAUAUGGCUUUCUUGCCCAAGGUUAAGCGAAUAAGAAUGAGUGGAACCGUUAACCGGCAAUUCAAGAUGAAAAAAAUUAACAAUUUGCAAUAUAGGUAAUUAUAGAGAUUUAAAUGAAUUUUUCGGAUAAGGUUAACCAAGGAAAAUUGUGUAACAAAGUGAUAUGAUCGUUACCUAGAAAUUAAAAAUGAAAACAAUUGUACAACUUGCAUUAUAGAUAAUUAUACAUAUUACAUAUGGAUUUGUCGGUAAAAGUUAAUCGAGAAAAACUGUGUAACAACGUGAUUUGGCCGUAAAUCGGAAAUUAUAAAUGAUAAAAAUUUUACAAUUUGUACUCUAGAUUUUAUAUGGCUUUCUCGCCAAAGGUUAAUCGGAUAAGACUGUGUGAAAUCGUGGUAUGACCGUUUACCGGAAAUUCAAGAUGAAAAAAAUUUUCCAAUUUGCGAUAUAGGUAAUUCUACAGAUUAUAUGUGUCUUUCUCGACCAUGGUUAACCGAGAAAAAUAGUGUGACAACAUGGUAUGACCGUUAACCGGAAAUUCAAAAUGCAAAACUUUUACAAUUUGCAUUCUAGGUAAUUAUACAGAUUUUGUAUGACUUUCUCCCCUAAGGAUAAUCGAGAAAAACUCUGUUCAACGUCUGUUCAACUAUCAGAGUUAAAUGGAAAUUCAAGAUGGUAAAAUUUGUACAAUUUGCAUUUCAGGUGAUUAUACAGAUUUUAUAUUGCUUUCUCGUCCAAGGUCAACCAAGAAAAACAGUGUAACAGCACGGUAUCACCGUUAACCAGAUAUUAAAAAAUGAGAAAAAUUUUACAAUUUCCAUUACAGAUUUAAAUGGAUUUCUCGGAUAAGGUUAACCUAGAAAAACUGUGCAACAACGUGGUAUGGCCGUUAACCGGAAAUUCAAAAAUGAGAAAAAUUGUACAAUUUGCUAUAUAGGUAAUUAUGCUGAUGUUACAUAGAUUUUUCGGUUAAGGCUAACUGAGAGAAACUACGUAACAACGUGCUAUGACUACUAUGGGGAAAUCCAAAAUGAAUAAAAUUGUAGAAUUUGCAUUAUAGAUAAUUAUACAGGUGAUAGAUGGAUUUCUCGGUAAAAGUUAACCGAGAUAAACUGUGUAACAACGUGGUAUGAAUGUUAAUCGGAAAUUUAAAAUGGAAAAAAUUGUAUAAUUUGCAUUUCAGGUAAUUCUAUAGAUUAUAUAUGUCUCUCUCGACCAGGGUUAACAGAGAAAAGUAGUGGUAACAACAUGGUAUAUACGACCGUUAACCGGAAAUUCAAAAUUUAAAAAAUUCUAUUUGUCCCAUGAUUGGUAAUUCUGCAGAUUUUAUAUGGCUUUCUUGCCCAAGGUUAAGCGAAUAAGAAUGAGUGGAACCGUUAACCGGCAAUUCAAGAUGAAAAAAAUUAACAAUUUGCAAUAUAGGUAAUUAUAGAGAUUUAAAUGAAUUUUUCGGAUAAGGUUAACCAAGGAAAAUUGUGUAACAAAGUGAUAUGAUCGUUACCUAGAAAUUAAAAAUGAAAACAAUUGUACAACUUGCAUUAUAGAUAAUUAUACAUAUUACAUAUGGAUUUGUCGGUAAAAGUUAAUCGAGAAAAACUGUGUAACAACGUGAUUUGGCCGUAAAUCGGAAAUUAUAAAUGAUAAAAAUUUUACAAUUUGUACUCUAGAUUUUAUAUGGCUUUCUCGCCAAAGGUUAAUCGGAUAAGACUGUGUGAAAUCGUGGUAUGACCGUUUACCGGAAAUUCAAGAUGAAAAAAAUUUUCCAAUUUGCGAUAUAGGUAAUUCUACAGAUUAUAUGUGUCUUUCUCGACCAUGGUUAACCGAGAAAAAUAGUGUGACAACAUGGUAUGACCGUUAACCGGAAAUUCAAAAUGCAAAACUUUUACAAUUUGCAUUCUAGGUAAUUAUACAGAUUUUGUAUGACUUUCUCCCCUAAGGAUAAUCGAGAAAAACUCUGUUCAACGUCUGUUCAACUAUCAGAGUUAAAUGGAAAUUCAAGAUGGUAAAAUUUGUACAAUUUGCAUUUCAGGUAGUUAUACAGGUUUUAUAUUGCUUUUUCGUCCAAGGUUAACCGAAAAAACAGUGUAACAACAUGGUAUCACCGUUAACCAGAUAUUAAAAAGUGAGAAAAAUUUUUCAAUUUUCAUUACAGGUAAUUAUACGGAUUUUUAUAUGGCAAUGUGGUCCAAAGUUAACAGAGUAAGACCGUGUAAGAACGUUGUGUGACCGUUAACAGCAAAUUCAAAGGGAAAAAAAAAUUUUACAAUUUGCAUUAUUUGUAAUUGUACAAAUUUUUUAUUUAUUUCUCCCAUAAGUUUAACGUAGAAGAUAUGUCUACAGCCUGGUAUGAUGGUUGACUGUAAAUUGGAAAUGAAAAAAUUUUAUAACUUGCAUUAUAGCUAAUUAUGCUGAUUUUACAUGGGUUUCUCGUACAAAUUAACCGAGAAAAACUGUGUAACGACGUGAUAUGAAUGUUAAUCGGAAAUUCAAAUUGGAAAAAAAUUGUACAAUUUGCCUUGCAGGUAAUUAUACAAAUUUAAAUGAAUUUUUCGGAUAAGGUGAACCGAGAAAAACAGUGUAACAAUACGGUGUCACCAUUAACCUAAAAUUCAAAAUGAAAAAAAUUUUACAACUUGCAUUAUUGAUAAUUAUAGAGACUUUUUAUAUACUUCUUGCUUAAUGUUAACCUAGAAAACCUAUGUAACAACGUGGUAUGGCCGUUAACCGGAAAUUCAAAAGGAUAAAAAUAUUAUUGUACGAACACGAACUGUAAAUUGAUAAUGAAAAAAAAUUCUACUUGUGUCAUUAUAGGUUAUUGUACAGAUUUCAUAUGGCUUUCCAGCAUAAAGAUUACCAAGAGAUACUUCUUAAUAACGUGGUAUGACCGUUAUCAAAAAUUAAAUAAAAAUUAAGAAGGAAUUUUACAAUUUGCAUUGUAGGUAAUUAUAUAGAUAUUAUAUGGAUUUCUCGGUUGAGGUUAAUCGAGAAAAUCUAUGUAACUACGUGGUAUGACUGUUAACCGGAAAUUCAAAAAGUAAAGAAUUGAAUAAUUUGCAUUAUAGGUAAUCCUACAGAUUCUAUAUGUCUUUCUCGAUCAGGGUUAACCGAGAAAGAUAAUGUAACAAAAUGGUAUGACCGUUAACCGGAAAUUCAAAAUGAAAAAAAUUUUACAAUUUGCCUCAUAGGUAAUUACACAGAUUUUAUAUUGCUUUCUCGUCCAAGGUGAACCGAGGAAAACAGUGUAACAACACGGUAUCACCGUUAACCUGAAAUUAAAAAUGAAAAAAAUUUUACAAUUUGCAUUAUAGAUAAUUAUGCGGGUAUUACAUGGAUUUCCCGGUAACGGAGAAACGAGAAAAGCUGUAUAACACCGUGAUUUCUCUCAUAUCGUUAACCGGGAAGAACUGUGUAAAAUUCCGUAUGAUCGUUAACUCCGAAUUGAAAAUAAAAAAAAUUUUCUCGCUUCAUUCUAUGUAAUUAUACAGAUUUAAAUGAAUUUUUCGGAUAAGGUUAACCAAGGAAAAUUUUGUAACAACGUGAUAUGAUCGUUGACUAGAAAUUCAUAACGAAAAAAAUUUACAAUCUGCAUUAUAGAUAAUUAUACAUGUGAUAUAUGGAUUUUUCGGUAAAAGUUAACCGAGAUAAACUGUGUAACAACGUGGUAUGAACGUUAACCGGAAAUACAAAAUGGAAAAAAUUGCACAAUUUGCAUUUCAGGUGAUUAUACAGAUUUUAUAUUGCUUUCUCGUCCAAGGUCAACCAAGAAAAACAGUGUAACAGCACGGUAUCACCGUUAACCAGAUAUUAAAAAAUGAGAAAAAUUUUACAAUUUCCAUUACAGAUUUAAAUGGAUUUCUCGGAUAAGGUUAACCUAGAAAAACUGUGCAACAACGUGGUAUGGCCGUUAACCGGAAAUUCAAAAAUGAGAAAAAUUGUACAAUUUGCUAUAUAGGUAAUUAUGCUGAUGUUACAUAGAUUUUUCGGUUAAGGCUAACUGAGAGAAACUACGUAACAACGUGCUAUGACUACUAUGGGGAAAUCCAAAAUGAAUAAAAUUGUAGAAUUUGCAUUAUAGAUAAUUAUACAGGUGAUAGAUGGAUUUCUCGGUAAAAGUUAACCGAGAUAAACUGUGUAACAACGUGGUAUGAAUGUUAAUCGGAAAUUUAAAAUGGAAAAAAUUGUAUAAUUUGCAUUUCAGGUAAUUCUAUAGAUUAUAUAUGUCUCUCUCGACCAGGGUUAACAGAGAAAAGUAGUGGUAACAACAUGGUAUAUACGACCGUUAACCGGAAAUUCAAAAUUUAAAAAAUUCUAUUUGUCCCAUGAUUGGUAAUUCUGCAGAUUUUAUAUGGCUUUCUUGCCCAAGGUUAAGCGAAUAAGAAUGAGUGGAACCGUUAACCGGCAAUUCAAGAUGAAAAAAAUUAACAAUUUGCAAUAUAGGUAAUUAUAGAGAUUUAAAUGAAUUUUUCGGAUAAGGUUAACCAAGGAAAAUUGUGUAACAAAGUGAUAUGAUCGUUACCUAGAAAUUAAAAAUGAAAACAAUUGUACAACUUGCAUUAUAGAUAAUUAUACAUAUUACAUAUGGAUUUGUCGGUAAAAGUUAAUCGAGAAAAACUGUGUAACAACGUGAUUUGGCCGUAAAUCGGAAAUUAUAAAUGAUAAAAAUUUUACAAUUUGUACUCUAGAUUUUAUAUGGCUUUCUCGCCAAAGGUUAAUCGGAUAAGACUGUGUGAAAUCGUGGUAUGACCGUUUACCGGAAAUUCAAGAUGAAAAAAAUUUUCCAAUUUGCGAUAUAGGUAAUUCUACAGAUUAUAUGUGUCUUUCUCGACCAUGGUUAACCGAGAAAAAUAGUGUGACAACAUGGUAUGACCGUUAACCGGAAAUUCAAAAUGCAAAACUUUUACAAUUUGCAUUCUAGGUAAUUAUACAGAUUUUGUAUGACUUUCUCCCCUAAGGAUAAUCGAGAAAAACUCUGUUCAACGUCUGUUCAACUAUCAGAGUUAAAUGGAAAUUCAAGAUGGUAAAAUUUGUACAAUUUGCAUUUCAGGUAGUUAUACAGGUUUUAUAUUGCUUUUUCGUCCAAGGUUAACCGAAAAAACAGUGUAACAACAUGGUAUCACCGUUAACCAGAUAUUAAAAAGUGAGAAAAAUUUUUCAAUUUUCAUUACAGGUAAUUAUACGGAUUUUUAUAUGGCAAUGUGGUCCAAAGUUAACAGAGUAAGACCGUGUAAGAACGUUGUGUGACCGUUAACAGCAAAUUCAAAGGGAAAAAAAAUUUUACAAUUUGCAUUAUUUGUAAUUGUACAAAUUUUUUAUUUAUUUCUCCCAUAAGUUUAACGUAGAAGAUAUGUCUACAGCCUGGUAUGAUGGUUGACUGUAAAUUGGAAAUGAAAAAAUUUUAUAACUUGCAUUAUAGCUAAUUAUGCUGAUUUUACAUGGGUUUCUCGUACAAAUUAACCGAGAAAAACUGUGUAACGACGUGAUAUGAAUGUUAAUCGGAAAUUCAAAUUGGAAAAAAUUGUACAAUUUGCCUUGCAGGUAAUUAUACAAAUUUAAAUGAAUUUUUCGGAUAAGGUGAACCGAGAAAAACAGUGUAACAAUACGGUGUCACCAUUAACCUAAAAUUCAAAAUGAAAAAAAUUUUACAACUUGCAUUAUUGAUAAUUAUAGAGACUUUUUAUAUACUUCUUGCUUAAUGUUAACCUAGAAAACCUAUGUAACAACGUGGUAUGGCCGUUAACCGGAAAUUCAAAAGGAUAAAAAUAUUAUUGUACGAACACGAACUGUAAAUUGAUAAUGAAAAAAAAUUCUACUUGUGUCAUUAUAGGUUAUUGUACAGAUUUCAUAUGGCUUUCCAGCAUAAAGAUUACCAAGAGAUACUUCUUAAUAACGUGGUAUGACCGUUAUCAAAAAUUAAAUAAAAAUUAAGAAGGAAUUUUACAAUUUGCAUUGUAGGUAAUUAUAUAGAUAUUAUAUGGAUUUCUCGGUUGAGGUUAAUCGAGAAAAUCUAUGUAACUACGUGGUAUGACUGUUAACCGGAAAUUCAAAAAGUAAAGAAUUGAAUAAUUUGCAUUAUAGGUAAUCCUACAGAUUCUAUAUGUCUUUCUCGAUCAGGGUUAACCGAGAAAGAUAAUGUAACAAAAUGGUAUGACCGUUAACCGGAAAUUCAAAAUGAAAAAAAUUUUACAAUUUGCCUCAUAGGUAAUUACACAGAUUUUAUAUUGCUUUCUCGUCCAAGGUGAACCGAGGAAAACAGUGUAACAACACGGUAUCACCGUUAACCUGAAAUUAAAAAUGAAAAAAAUUUUACAAUUUGCAUUAUAGAUAAUUAUGCGGGUAUUACAUGGAUUUCCCGGUAACGGAGAAACGAGAAAAGCUGUAUAACACCGUGAUUUCUCUCAUAUCGUUAACCGGGAAGAACUGUGUAAAAUUCCGUAUGAUCGUUAACUCCGAAUUGAAAAUAAAAAAAAUUUUCUCGCUUCAUUCUAUGUAAUUAUACAGAUUUAAAUGAAUUUUUCGGAUAAGGUUAACCAAGGAAAAUUUUGUAACAACGUGAUAUGAUCGUUGACUAGAAAUUCAUAACGAAAAAAAUUUACAAUCUGCAUUAUAGAUAAUUAUACAUGUGAUAUAUGGAUUUUUCGGUAAAAGUUAACCGAGAUAAACUGUGUAACAACGUGGUAUGAACGUUAACCGGAAAUACAAAAUGGAAAAAAUUGCACAAUUUGCAUUUCAGGUGAUUAUACAGAUUUUAUAUUGCUUUCUCGUCCAAGGUCAACCAAGAAAAACAGUGUAACAGCACGGUAUCACCGUUAACCAGAUAUUAAAAAAUGAGAAAAAUUUUACAAUUUCCAUUACAGAUUUAAAUGGAUUUCUCGGAUAAGGUUAACCUAGAAAAACUGUGCAACAACGUGGUAUGGCCGUUAACCGGAAAUUCAAAAAUGAGAAAAAUUGUACAAUUUGCUAUAUAGGUAAUUAUGCUGAUGUUACAUAGAUUUUUCGGUUAAGGCUAACUGAGAGAAACUACGUAACAACGUGCUAUGACUACUAUGGGGAAAUCCAAAAUGAAUAAAAUUGUAGAAUUUGCAUUAUAGAUAAUUAUACAGGUGAUAGAUGGAUUUCUCGGUAAAAGUUAACCGAGAUAAACUGUGUAACAACGUGGUAUGAAUGUUAAUCGGAAAUUUAAAAUGGAAAAAAUUGUAUAAUUUGCAUUUCAGGUAAUUCUAUAGAUUAUAUAUGUCUCUCUCGACCAGGGUUAACAGAGAAAAGUAGUGGUAACAACAUGGUAUAUACGACCGUUAACCGGAAAUUCAAAAUUUAAAAAAUUCUAUUUGUCCCAUGAUUGGUAAUUCUGCAGAUUUUAUAUGGCUUUCUUGCCCAAGGUUAAGCGAAUAAGAAUGAGUGGAACCGUUAACCGGCAAUUCAAGAUGAAAAAAAUUAACAAUUUGCAAUAUAGGUAAUUAUAGAGAUUUAAAUGAAUUUUUCGGAUAAGGUUAACCAAGGAAAAUUGUGUAACAAAGUGAUAUGAUCGUUACCUAGAAAUUAAAAAUGAAAACAAUUGUACAACUUGCAUUAUAGAUAAUUAUACAUAUUACAUAUGGAUUUGUCGGUAAAAGUUAAUCGAGAAAAACUGUGUAACAACGUGAUUUGGCCGUAAAUCGGAAAUUAUAAAUGAUAAAAAUUUUACAAUUUGUACUCUAGAUUUUAUAUGGCUUUCUCGCCAAAGGUUAAUCGGAUAAGACUGUGUGAAAUCGUGGUAUGACCGUUUACCGGAAAUUCAAGAUGAAAAAAAUUUUCCAAUUUGCGAUAUAGAUAAUCAUGCUGGUGUUACGUGGAUUUCCCGAUAACGGAGAACCGAGAAAAGUUGUAUAACAUCGUGGUAUGAAUGUGAACCAAAAAUUCAAAAUGAAAAAGUUUUAUAAUUUGCAUUAUAGGUAAUGACACAGAUUUUAUUUGGCUUCUUUCCAUAAGGUUACCAGAGAAAAAGCCUGUUCAAAAUGGUAUGAUCGUUAACUGUAAAUUGGAAUUGAAAAAAUUUUACUUAUUUCAUUAUAAAUAAUUAUAUAGAUUUUGUAUGGCUUGCUUCUAUGAGAUUAACUGAGAAAAACUAUGUAAGAACUUGGUAUGAUACUUAACUGUAAAUUGAAAAUGAAAUAAUUUUACCAUUUGCUUUAUAGGAAAUUACACGGAUUUUAUUUGGACUCCUUGCAUAUGUUUAACUGUGAAAAACAAUGUAAAUUAAUAUUUUGUAGAAAUUAUCUCCGAGUGAUUGUAUUUCAUAAAUAUUCUCAGCUUGGGUUCUAUAUCACUGACAAUGGUAUUGUUACUUACAAAUCAGAGAAAUUAUCAUGUUUUAAAAAUUGAAUAAAUAAAGAAUGGGGUAGAAGUGAGAGUUAAUAUAGGCAAAAAGAGUGUUAACAGUACACAGUGUUCUCAAGCAGUAACCCAUUCAAGUACUAACCGUGUCCGGCAUUGCUUAACUUCAAUGACCGAACGAGGAUUGGUGCAACAUGGUAUAACUGUUAACCAAAAAUUUAAAUCAAAAUAUUUUACAAUUUGCAUUAUGGAAGCUAUCUGCGAAUGCUUGUUAUUCAUACAUAUUCUCAACAUGGAUCUUACAGUACUUACAAUGGUAUUUUUAUUAUAAAAAUAGAAAGAUCAUCGUGUCCCGAAAAUUAAAUGGAUAUAAAGGAGUGUAAAAGUGAGAGUUAAAAUAGGCAGAAGAAUGCUAACAAUACAUGGUGUUCCCAAGCCUUCAUCCAUCCAUGUACUAACUGUGUCCAAUGUUGCCUAACUUCAGUGAUUGGACGAGAACUUGUGUUAUUACGUGAUAUGACUAUUAACUAGAGUUGGAAUCUUACGAAUUACUUUUAAUCAUAGUAUUACAUUUAUUUUUCGGUAUGAUGGAUGUACGAUAAAAUUUACUUCAUAUUUUUAACUUAUAACGAUAUUUUUUAUUUAAUAUAUUUAGAUACAAAUAUUGUGAUGUCCAUGAUUGUUUAUUGUAUGUCGUUUGUUGUGUUUUUUACCUUUGAAUAAGGGAUUAUCAAUAAUGCUAAUAUUACUCAUUUGUCUGAUUGUUUUAAACUUGAAAAGUCUAUAUCGAUUGACACUAUAAUUUCUCUGGAACUUUUCGCGAAGAUACUGUCGAAAUUAGGAAAAAGAAAGAAAAAUGAAGAAAUUUAAAAUGUAUAAAGAUAUAGAAUGGGAAGUAAUAAUGUUUAUUGUUUGCGAGCGAAUCAGGAUACUAGAUUUGGAAUUCUUAAAUAAUUUCAGGUGUGAUCCUUUGUUCUGAUAAUCAUAUUUAUUCGUGACCAUUGAAUCGAUGGCUUCAGGAUAAAUUCCAGAUAUCCACGUCUCGCUUUAUUUAAUAAUCUAAUUUCAUUGAUUGCCCGACAUGGUAUAUUACAAAAGAACAUAUGUUCGAUUAACAAUGCCUAAAUUUGGACAAUAAUGGGAAUCGUGGGAAACAUAAGAAACAUGUUUCUUUAUAUUUAAGUAUUUUCUUAGAGAUUGUUCAGCAAUAUCACUCUUUUAUCAAAGUUAUUCUCUGUAAUGCUAAUAGAUCCUUAGUAGAUAAUACUAUGAAUAUUUGAAAGUGUGCAUGUGUGAUUCAGUACAUGCUUUUGGUUAAGAAAAAAUAUACCUUGAUAUGCAUAUAUAUUUUAAAUAAAGUUACUGUCAAAAUAAGUUAUUGUAAAUAUCCACUAACGUUUAUUGAGAAUCAUAUCGAAAGAUUGAACAGAAAGUCAUGAUUUGUUAUUCUGAAUUGAAUGAUCGUAAUUUUUAGAUCAACUGUACAAAGUAUUUUG